AGAGUACGUGAAACCGCUGAGAGGCAAACUGGUGGAACUGAAAUGGCUCCGAGGAAUUCAGCCGUUGGUGCUGUCACAAUCGGUGUUUGUUCGAUCUUACGACGACUUGGCCGGUUGACGUCGACAUCAUAGGUGCACUUUCCUCGUUUGUGGGCCCGACCACGAUCGGUGAGCUGAUCUGUCUGUCGUAUUUGGAAGGUAGCGCCAUCUUCGGAAGGCGUAUUAUAGCCGAGUACAUGGAGCAGUAUGGCGCACUGAAUGAUAAUGCCUGCCCACUAGGGCUCACAAGUUGGUUGUUUUGUUGGCGAGUUCUGAUUUCACUACCUCGGUAGAGUAGUUGGUCUCUGUUGGCUUUACGGUCGGCCUCUGUGAUUGGCAUUGGUAAAUCUGUGGUUGUGAAGUAGGUAGUCCACCUGACCCGUCUUGAAACACGGACCAAGGAGUCUAACAUGUGCGCGAGUCAUUGGGUUUACGAAACCUAAAGGCGCAGUGAAGGUAAAGAUCUGCUUAUUGCAGGUUGAGGUGGGAUGCUGGGUUACGCGCCCGGCCGCACUACCGGCCCGUUCUACUUGUAUCUCAAGGGGGCGGAGCAAGAGCGUACACGUUGGGACCCGAAAGAUGGUGAACUAUGCUUGCGCAGGUUGAAGCCAGAGGAAACUC
rnacentral:rRNA from 1 species